CGUUGAUCAGCAGAGCACUCACCAGGAAGAAGGAACCUGUGGAAGAAGAUGUUAGGUAGAAGGUGAAGUUUCAAGUCCAGUUGGUCCUGCCAGCUGCCAUGUUGUGAAUAUGGAGAAGCCAGAAUGGGGAGGAACUCAGGCCUGCCAACAGCUGCAUGAGUGAGCCUGGAAGCAGAUCCUCCAGCCUCAGUAGACCCUUGAGAUAACUGCAAUCUCACGAGAGACCUCGAACCAGAGUGCUGUGCUAGAGUUGGAUUUCAGCCACAGCUUGUUCAUGUUCUUGACCUCUUUUGUGCUAUCCACAACCUGCCCGAUCACAAGCUUCAACCCUGCCUGUUGAGCCUCAGAAAAAUAGAGAAAUGGAGCACAAGUAAUUGUUUACCCUGGGCACGUGGACAAGGUCUGAUACAUUGUCUUUGGAUGAACAGGCUUCAUAUCU
rnacentral:lncRNA from 1 species